GAUGAACGCUGGCGGCGUGCUUAACACAUGCAAGUCGAACGAGAAGUGAAGACGGAAACCUUCGGGCGGAAGGCUUUAUUUCGAGUGGCGGACGGGUGAGUAACGCGUGGGUAACCUGCCUCAUACAGGGGGAUAACAGUUGGAAACGACUGUUAAUACCGCAUAAGACCACAGCACCGCAUGGUGCGGGGGUAAAAACUCCGGUGGUAUGAGAUGGACCCGCGUUCGAUUAGCCAGUUGGCGGGGUAACGGCCCACCAAAGCGACGAUCGAUAGCCGAUCUGAGAGGAUGACCGGCCACAUUGGGACUGAGACACGGCCCAAACUCCUACGGGAGGCAGCAGUGGGGAAUAUUGCACAAUGGGGGAAACCCUGAUGCAGCGACGCCGCGCGAGUGAAGAAGUAUUUCGGUAUGUAAAGCUCUAUCAGCAGGGAAGAAAAUGACGGUACCUGAGUAAGAAGCCCCGGCUAACUACGUG
rnacentral:rRNA from 1 species